rnacentral:rRNA from 1 species
GAUGAACGCUAGCGAUAGGCCUAACACAUGCAAGUCGAGGGGCAUCACAUGAAGUAGCAAUACGGAUGGUGGCGACCGGCGCACGGGUGAGUAACACGUAUGCAACCUGCCUUCAACAAGGGGAUAACCCGUUGAAAGACGGACUAAUACCCUAUAACACAGGGGUCCCGCAUGGGAAUAUUUGUUAAAGGACAACCGGUUGAAGAUGGGCAUGCGUUCCAUUAGCUAGUUGGCGGGGUAACGGCCCACCAAGGCAACGAUGGAUAGGGGAACUGAGAGGUUUAUCCCCCACACUGGUACUGAGACACGGACCAGACUCCUACGGGAGGCAGCAGUGAGGAAUAUUGGUCAAUGGACGCAAGUCUGAACCAGCCACGUCGCGUGAAGGAAGACAGCCCUACGGGUUGUAAACUUCUUUUAUACGGGGAAUAAAGUGCCCCACGCGUGGGGUUUUGCAUGUACCGUAUGAAUAAGGAUCGGCUAACUCCGUGCCAGCAGCCGCGGUAAAUCACU